GAUGAACGCUGGCGGCGUGCUUAACACAUGCAAGUCGAACGGAAAGGCCCAAGGUUGCUUGGUUACUCGAGUGGCGAACGGGUGAGUAACACGUGGGGGAUCUGCCCUGCACUUCGGGAGAAGCCUUGGGAACUGGGUCUAAUACCGGAUAGGACGAUGGGUUGGAUGCCAUUGUGGAAAGAUUGUUCGGUGUGGGGUGAGCUCGCGGCGUAUCAGCUUGUUGGUGGGGUAAUGGCCUACCAAGGCGUCGACGGGUAGCCGGCCUGAGAGGGUGUACGGCCACAUUGGGACUGAGAUACGGCCCAGACUCCUACGGGAGGCAGCAGUGGGGAAUAUUGCACAAUGGGCGCAAGCCUGAUGCAGCGACGCCGCGUGGGGGAUGACGGCCUUCGGGUUGUAAACUCCUUUCGCUAGGGACGAAGCGUUUUGUGACGGUACCUGGAGAAGAAGCACCGGCUAACUACGUG
rnacentral:rRNA from 1 species